rnacentral:rRNA from 1 species
UACGUAGGGGGCAAGCGUUGUCCGGAAUCAUUGGGCGUAAAGCGCGCGUAGGCGGCCCGGUAAGUCAGCUGUGAAAGUCAAGGGCUCAACCCUUGAAAGCCGGUUGAUACUGCGGGUCUCGAGUCCGGGAGAGGUGAGUGGAAUUCCUAGUGUAGAGGUGAAAUUCGUAGAUAUUAGGAAGAACACCAGUGGCGAAGGCGGCUCACUGGCCCGGUACUGACGCUGAGGCGCGAAAGCGUGGGGAGCAAACAGG